CCCUACGGGGUGCAGCAGGCGCGCAAACUUUACAAUGCGAGCAAUCGUGAUAAGGAAACCCUGAGUGCCUGUCGAUGCAGGCUGUUCAUAUAUCUAAAUCAUAUGUGAAGAAAGGGCAGGGCAAGACCGGUGCCAGCAGCCGCGGUAAA
rnacentral:rRNA from 1 species